rnacentral:rRNA from 1 species
UACGUAGGGUGCGAGCGUUAAUCGGAAUUACUGGGCGUAAAGCGUGCGCAGGCGGUGAUGUAAGACAGAUGUGAAAUCCCCGGGCUCAACCUGGGAACUGCAUUUGUGACUGCAUCGCUGGAGUGCGGCAGAGGGGGAUGGAAUUCCGCGUGUAGCAGUGAAAUGCGUAGUUAUGCGGAGGAACACCGAUGGCGAAGGCAAUCCCCUGGGCCUGCACUGACGCUCAUGCACGAAAGCGUGGGGAGCAAACAGG